GUGGGGAAUAUUGGGCAAUGGGGGCAACCCUGACCCAGCGACGCCGCGUGGGUGAAGAAAUCCCUCGGGAUGUAAAGCCCUGUUGUAUGGGAAGAGCAGAAGACGGUACCAUACGAGGAAGCCCCGGCAAACUACGUGCCAGCAGCCGCGGUAAUACGUAGGGGGCAAGCGUUGUCCGGAAUUACUGGGCGUAAAGCGCACGCAGGCUGACUUAUAAGUCGGUAGUCUAAUGCGGAGGCUCAACUUCCGUUUAUCUAUCGAUACUGUAAGACUAGAGUAUGUGAGAGGGAAGUGGAAUUCCAGGUGUAGCGGUGAAAUGCGUAGAUAUCGGGAGGAACACCAGUGGCGAAGGCGACUUCCUGGCACAAUACUGACGCUCAUGUGCGAAAGCUAGGGUAGCGAACGGGAUUAGAUACCCUAGUAGUCC
rnacentral:rRNA from 1 species